CACUUACACAUGGGCCCCGCCAAUUAUGAACAUACAGACUUCCCCGCUUUCCCAUCCCUGCGGCCCUUAUCCCCAGCCCAAAAUGGACGCCACCACCGCCGUGGCUGCGAGGCGCCUCCUCCUCCUCCCGCUCCGCGCCCAGCCGCCAGCACCGCGGGGCGCAGCGCCGGCCACGGCGAACCCCUGGUGUCGAUCCGUUCCGCGGAGACGACGAGUCCGUGCCGCCCCGGCGCGCGCGUCGCUGGACCGCGCCGCGGUCCUCCUCGACACCGCGGCCGCGGUGGCCAACGGCGGGACAGGUUACUCGCAGGCGAGCUACUACACGUCUCUGGGACUCUUCGUUCUCUCCGUUCCGGGGCUGUGGUCCCUCAUCAAGCGCUCCGUCAAGUCCAAGAUUGUGCAAAAGACAUUUGUCAAAGACGAAGGGCAGUCGAUGGCGCCAAAUCAGGUGGCUGGAGAGAUCCUGUCGUUCUUCACUCGCAAUAACUUCACCGUCUCAGACCGCGGGGAGGUCAUCACAUUCGAGGGCACAAUGAUACCAAACAGAGGCCAGGCGGCGCUGCUAACCUUCUGCACCUGCAUUAGCCUCGGGAGUGUCGGGCUUGUUCUAUCAAUCGCUGUCCCAGAAGGUGGCAACAACUGGUUCUGGCUCAUGACCCUGAGCCCCUUGGCGGGAGCGUACUACUGGACGAAAGCGUCAAGGAAAGAAGAGAUCAAGGUCAAGAUGAUCCUAUCCGAUGACGGGAACGUGUCCGAGAUCCUUGUGCAGGGCGAUGACGUCCAGGUUGAGCAGAUGAGGAAGGACCUCAAGUUCAGCGAGAAGGGGAUGGUCUAUGUGAAGGGCAUCUUUGAGACAUGACUGGGAGUUUCAUACUCUAUCUGUGAGUGAACAAUCGAGUGGAGACGAGUCUUUGCUGCAACGGAAACUGCGUAAGCGUAACCCAGGUGAGGAAAUGCAAAUUGGACGGGCAAAUCUGUACCUUGGCUUAAAGGAAAAAAAGAAGUGAUCUUCAUACGGGAUUUGAUUAUUGAGAGAAAGAAGUAACUGGAAGUCUGACCACUGCACAUUGGAGUUCCAAUUGGACACCAGCCGAUCACUCAAGGGGUCUGCGGCGAGCGGACGACGAGUUCGCGGUUGGCGGACGGACGCUGCACCGUCACAGGCAACACAACUAAGAUGGGAUCGGCAGUGGUGGACUUCCCUAGGGGCGAGCUGCGGCAACGACCUCCUUAGGGCGUGAGCGACGACGUGUUUUUAUGCUACCCUGUAUACAUAUUUAUGCCAACGUCAAUAGAUGUUUACGACAUAUAUUUCAGUCAAUGGUUACCCUUACAUCUAUUGUCUGUUUAUGAUAUUUCUAUUCACAUUUUAUGCAAACGUUUAUAGAUUUGUAUGUAUUAUCUCGUUA